rnacentral:rRNA from 1 species
GUAGGUAAGGGAAGUCGGCAAACUAGAUCCGUAACUUCGGGAUAAGGAUUGGCUCUGAAGGCUGGGCCGGCACGGUAUGUCGCAGUGGUGUGGUCGUCCGCUCCGGUGGGUGACCCUCCCUGCGAGCCGUCUGGCACGUAACAGCCAGUUCAGAACUGGCACGGCUGAGGGAAUCCGACUGUCUAAU